rnacentral:rRNA from 1 species
UACGUAGGGGGCAAGCGUUGUCCGGAAUUAUUGGGCGUAAAGAGCUCGUAGGCGGUGUGUCGCGUCGGCCGUGAAAACCUGCAGCUUAACUGUGGGCGUGCGGUCGAUACGGGCAUCACUGGAGUUCGGCAGGGGAGACUGGAAGUUCCUGGUGUAGCGGUGAAAUGCGCAGAUAUCAGGAGGAACACCGGUGGCGAAGGCGGGUCUCUGGGCCGAUACUGACGCUGAGGAGCGAAAGCGUGGGGAGCGAACAGG